CAAGCACCUAAACCCAAGAACCACCGUUUCUCAUAGCAGUGGUUUAAAUAGAGGUGCUGACAGCAAUCGGAUCUUGUCGCCUUUGGGGGGCUGUGUCUGUGCCCCUGAAAGUGAAUUCGGAGGUUCUACACCC